AGUACUUGCUUUUACAAGGCGAAACCGCGAAUGGCUCAUUAAAUCAGUUAUGGUUCACUAGAUCGUAAAUUUUACACGGAUAACUGUGGUAAUUCUAGAGCUAAUACGUGCAACCAGCUCGCUUCCUUGUGGAGCGAGCGCAGUUAUUAGAACAAGACCAAUCCGGCCUUCGGGUCGGUACAUUUGGUGACUCUGAAUAACCGAAGCGGAGCGCAUGGUCUCGUACCGGCGCCAGAUCUUUCAAGUGUCUGACUUAUCAGCUUGUUGUUAGGUUAUGUUCCUAACAAGGCUUCAACGGGUAACGGGGUAUCAGGGUCCGAUACCGGAGAGGGAGCCUGAGAAACGGCUACCACAUCCAAGGAAGGCAGCAGGCGCGCAAAUUACCCACUCCUAGCACAGGGAGGUAGUGACGAAAAAUAACGAUGCGGGGUCUUAUAGAUUCCCGUAAUCGGAAUGGGUACACUUUAAAUCCUUUAACGAGGAUCUAUUGGAGGGCAAGUCUGGUGCCAGCAGCCGCGGUAAUUCCAGCUCCAAUAGCGUAUAUUAAAGUUGCUGCGGUUAAAAAGCUCGUAGUUGGAUCUGGGCUUCUGAAUGGAUGGUGCGCUUUUCGGUGCUACUGUCCGUUUGGUGCCACAAGUCGGCCAUGUAGUGCAUGCCCUUCAUUGGGUGUGCAUUGCGACCGAAACGUUUACUUUGAAAAAAUUAGAGUGCUCAAAGCAGGCGUACGGCCUUGCAUAAUGGUGCAUGGAAUAAUGGAAUAGGACCUCGGUUCUAUUUUGUUGGUUUUCGGAACUCGAGGUAAUGAUUAAUAGGAACAGACGGGGGCAUUCGUAUUGCGGCGUUAGAGGUGAAAUUCUUGGAUCGUCGCAAG
rnacentral:rRNA from 1 species